GUGAGACUGGCCUAGCCUCCCAGCCUGCAUCUUUCUCCGCUGCUGGAUGCUUCCUGCCCUCAAUCAUCGGACUCCAAGUUCUUCAGUUUUGAGACUUGGACUGGCUCUCCUUGUUCCUCGAGCUUGCAGACAGCCAAUUGUGGGAACUUGUGAUCAGAAAUGGGCUCUCACUGUGUUGCCCAGUCUGGUCUCCAACUCCUGGCCCCAAGCAAUCCUUCCACCACAGCCUCCACAGUAGCUGGUAUUACAGGCAGGAGCCACCGCACCACAUACAUACACAAUUUAUAAUUAAGGUCAUAAGGUAAUAAAAUUUAUUAUGUGAGCCAUUUACUAAAACACCAUUUUUUAACCAAACAAUCAGACACGUCUAGAAUUUAUGAAAUUCUCACUGGAUGAGUUUUUAGAAAAUGUGGUAUCCACAUCCAAUGAUCACAUGUCACCACAUUGACAGGUGUGGCUGAAUUAAUUCUUAUCUCCUUGGAAAAGUUUUCAUUUCCUUCCUCUCUUCUUUGCUCAAGGGAAAAUGAACUUGCUUCAGGAGAAAACUUUCCCAGAAAAAAAUAGUAGAUAUUUUUAUUUAAGGACAUUAUGUCAAAUGCCAACAAAUAAUACAAUGUGUUUCUUAAAGUAUUUAGAUAUAUUAAGAAAUUAGGGACAAUACUGGCUCCCUGCCAAUGACAGUAUUUUGCUCAAAUGCCAUUAAACACGUUGAUAUAAUCUAUAAACACUAAAAUUAUCUUUUAAGUUGUGUCAUUGAGCUCUGCUGCUCAGUUCGGUAGCCAUUAGAUAUAUAUGGGCAAUGUGAUUGAGAACUGACUUUUUAAAUUUAAUUUAAUUCAUGUGAAUUUAAAUUUUAAAACAAAUCCUACAUUCAGUUCAGUUGCUGGAAAAUUUUUAAAUACCUGUAGAGCACCUUCAGUACAUAAAUCUACUUUUUCAAUUGUGAACUUUGUGAAAUAGAAGUGCAGAUCAAGUAUUUCCAAUGAAGACAUGUUCAAAUUGAGAUGUGUUGUAAGAUACAGAGCAAUAAAAAAGAAUUUAAC
rnacentral:lncRNA from 1 species